AUUAUUGGUAUUGUGGUUGUUAUAGCCGGGCACUCUUGUAGGCGCUUAAGCAACAACAGGGUGCCUGGCACAAGGAGAUACUCAGUAAAACUCUCAUCUGCUGUGUCAUUAAGGGGAACACUUAAUGGCUCACGCCUGUAAUCCCAGCACUUUGGGAGGCCGAGGCGGAAGGAUCACCUGAGCCCAGGAGUUGGAGACCAGCCUGGGCAACAGAUUGAGACCCUGUCUCAACAAAGAAGAAGAAGAAGAAAAAGGCCAGGCGCCGUGGCUAAUGUCUGUAAUCCCAGCACUUUGGGAGGCCAAGAAGGGAGAACUGCUUGAGGCCAGGAGUUCGAGACCAGCCUGGUCAACAUAGCGAGACACCCCCCCCAUCUCAAAAAUAAAUAAAUCAAAAUAAAAAAUAAAGAGGAGGCCGGGCUUGGUGGCUCACGCCUAUAAUUCCAGCACUUUGGAAGGCCGAGGUAGGUGGAUCACGAGGUCAGGAGUUCAAGACCAGCCUGGCCAAGAUGCUGAAACCCCAUCUCUACUAAAGAUACAAAAAGUUAGCCGGGCGUGGUGGCACACGCCUGUAAUCCCAGCUACUCGGGAGGUGGAGGCAGGAGAAUUGCUUGAACCUGGGAGAUGGAGGUUGCAGUGAGCCGAGAUCACGCCAUUGCACUCCAGCCUGGGCGACAGGGCAAGACUCCAUCUCAAAAAUAAUAAAUGCCGGGCGCGAUGGUUCAUGCCUGUAUUUCCAGCACUUUGGGAGGCCAAGGCGGGCAGAUCACAAGGUCAGGAAUUCGAGACCAGCCUGGCCAAUAUGGUGAAACCCUGUCUCUACUAAAAAUACAAAAAAAAAUAGCCGUGGUGGUGGGUGCCUGUAGUCCCAGCUACUUGGGAGGCUGAGGCGGGAGAAUUGCUUG
rnacentral:lncRNA from 10 species